GGGGCUGUAGUGAAGAGGAUUUAUCACGCCGGACCUCUAAUCCGGAGACCAGGGUUCGAUCCCCUGCAGUCUUG